CCAAAAAAAAAAAAAAAAAGAGGAAAGAGAGAAAUCAAAAGAUUUAUUCAGCGCCUUUAGGCUUGUAGGCAAGGAAACUAAUGCACUGGACUUGGCGAACAUUGUCGAAACCAAUGAUCCUACCAUAGCAAUCUGGGUAAGCUUUAAUCAUCUCAUCAAGCUCCUGCAACACCUGCACUGCAUCUGUGCAACCAAACAUGGGCAGCUUCCACAUGGUCCAGUAACGACCAUCAUAGUACCCUGGUGAUCUGUGGUACUCACGGUACACGGUUCCAUGCUCCAACUCGAAUUCCAAGCAAGGAACCCAUCCCUUGCGAAGAAGGUAUUCAACUUCCUUGGCCAAUUGCUCCCUUGUAAGGGGUGGAAGGUAUGAGAGAGUCUCGUAGAACUUCUUCCCACGUGGUGGCCAUACCUGCAUGCAUUGGACCCUGCCACCGUUGCUGGCGAUGGAGGUGAUAUCAGUGGUGGUUUUGCGGGUGGUUGGGAAGGCGGAUGUGGACUUAAGGCCGGUGAACGGAGCCACCAUGCUAGCCUGAGCAGGGCUAGCCCUGUUAAUGCAAGCCACAGCUGCUGUUGAAAGCAUAGAUGAAGCCAUUUCAAUUUUCACUUUCUUCUACUAAACUAUAUCAUUCACCCUCCCCCGUG
rnacentral:misc_RNA from 1 species